GCCAGUGUGGUGUAGUGGUUUGAAUGUUGGACUAUGACUUUUGUGACCAGGGUUCAAAUCCUUGCUUGGUCA
rnacentral:tRNA from 1 species